rnacentral:rRNA from 1 species
UACGUAGGUGACAAGCGUUGUCCGGAUUUACUGGGCGUAAAGAGCGCGCAGGCGGUCGUUCAAGUCGAGUGUGAAAGCCCCCGGCUCAACUGGGGAGGGUCAUUCGAUACUGAUCGACUCGAAGGCAGGAGAGGGAAGUGGAAUUCCCGGUGUAGUGGUGAAAUGCGUAGAUAUCGGGAGGAACACCAGUGGCGAAGGCGGCCACCUGGACGGUAACUGACGCUGAGACGGCGAAAAGCGUGGGGAGCAAACAGGGAUUAAGAA